rnacentral:tRNA from 1 species
GCCGGAGUGGUGAAAUGGUAGACACAGGGGACUCAAAAUCCCCCGCCUGCAAAGGCAUGUCGGUUCAAAUCCGACCUCCGGUACCA